UACGAAUGGGGCAAGCGUUGUUCGGAAUCACUGGGCUUAAAGCGUGCGUAGGCGGAUUUGCAAGUCAGAAGUGAAAUCCCCGGGCUUAACCCGGGAAUUGCUUUUGAAACUGCAAAUCUAGAAUCCUGGAGAGGUUAGCAGAAUUCCGAGUGUAGAGGUGAAAUUCGCAGAUAUUCGGAGGAAUACCAGUGGCGAAGGCGGCUAACUGGACAGGCAUUGACGCUGAGGUACGAAAGCGUGGGUAGCAAACAGG
rnacentral:rRNA from 1 species